UGCUCGGUAGCUUAAUUGGUAAAGCACUCGUCUAUACAAGAGUCCUGGGUUCGAAUCCCAGCCAAGUUU
rnacentral:tRNA from 1 species